UGCUCUGUCCCUUUCACCAGGGCUACCAGGAAGUACAAUUCUAGGGAAAGUCCUGAUUAGUCCUGCAGUACCUCAGGUCGGUCAAGAAGACGGCUUUCUCAAGGAGACGGCAUGUAUUUUUACACCAGCUUGGAAGACUUAACUUGGGAACUUUUAGCAGAAGCAUUGUCUUCUCAGCAGACACACAACCAAUCCUCAGAUAUAACCAAGAGAAGAGCUUCAGUGACCCAGAGGAACCGAAUAGAGGUUGCUGCAUCUUUAGAACCCACCGAUCACUGUGAGCUAAAGAACAGGACUGAAAGACCCUUUAUGCAAAACAUGGAAGAUUUGUAUUCCCACAUCUGUUUCAACAUCUCUCCUAAAAGAGCUGAGUUUUCCAUGAAGUUAUACCAAGUGAUCGUAUCAUUGUACUUUCCUCAAGAAGAGAGUUCUACUGCACCACUGAUAUUUUCUCUUUUCAUUCAGUUGCACUAUUUCCUGCAAGACAUUAGUUUAUCGGAUGUAUGGAAGUUCUCUCAUUUCAUUGUUUCUCUUGGCUAAAAAUUACCCUCAACUACAUUACAGAGGCUUGACACUGAAGUUCAGCAUCGGUCUUCAAGCCACUCAAAGAUGAGUUAUGAGUUUCUCACUGUACCUAUUGAAGAUAUUUUAAUGUCAUAUUGUGCCAAGACCUGACUUCAGUAUAUGGCUUACUGAGUUUUCAAAAUUACCAUCAGCUACAGAAAUUGUUGUGCUGAAGCCUGAAACCCUACAUGAGGAAAGAUCCAACUUUAUCUGUUCUGUCAAAGCUGAUCUAGACUACUAGACUAGUGGCUGAUCAGAGAAAGCAGCAUUUAGACCCCCCUUCCUCUCUGUCAGAACCCAACAGUUCUCUACUGAGAAAAAUGAAGUAUAUAUGCGGCAUUCUAAAAUGUAUAAAUAACCCUGAUCUAAUUGACCCUGAUUCCCUCCUGUUUUUGCUGCAACCCUGAGUGAAGGUGCUGUGUCCAGGCAACACAAGUUAGUGAGCAUCCUGUUAU